AUCACGUACACUGACGGAACGUCACGGAAGGACAUCCGGCGGAAGCAGCUAGCUAAGUAGCAGCUAGCUAACAGUGGUAAAUAUCUCAUGUGGAAACGAGCGACAACGUCUUCGGUUCAGUGUCUGAGAGCGUUUGUCACCGAGCGACUGACUGCUGCUGCAUAAAUACUCGGAGCCUUAGUGAAAAUAGUCGUUGAGUAUCAGGAAGAGAUCGAUCGGCAGCGCAGACUGUUGACAGUUUAGAAUCCCAGUGGAUCGCUGGAAAACCCGAUAGAAAACUACACCCAAAACGUUGACCUCUUUCAACAUGUCACUGAGCAGGAGACGCACUUGAGUUUGGACCGAACCGAUCCCCGGCUUCCACACAUAAAGCAAGAACGGGAAGAACUGGACACAGUGGAGGUCGUUCUGAAGCAGGAGACUGAGACGUUUAUGUUGAAUUCUACUUAUGAGGAAAGCGAGAGUGACCCCGAACCGAACAGUGACGGUGACGGUGAGCUGCUCUGUCACAGCUGUGGCGCAGAGACAGGAGGAGGACGCUGCGUGGACGCGGGACCCACCGGAAACAGCCUCUCUGUGACGUUCACACUGGCGAAAAGUCUAGCGAAUGUAGCUUUUAAGUAUAAGUACAACUUAAAGAGACAUCUUAGAAUCCACACUGGUGAGAAGCCGUGUGUCUGCAGCGCCUGUGGGAAAAGGUUCAGUCAGACGUCAAUACUGAAGAGGCGUGUGAAGAUUCACACAGGUGAGAAGCCAUAUUCCUGCACAAUCUGCCCUAAAAGCUUCUGUCAGAAAAGCCACAAACAUUCACACACGCGAAGCAUCCAACACCUGAACUAUUUCAGUCUUGCCGGUUAAUUUUCGAGAACCAUUUUGCGUCUAGCAGCACGCAGGUGCAGCUGUUAGCCGCUAGCUGCUAGCUGAGAACUGUAGCAUAGCAAUGUGUGACUGGUGGAGACGUUUGAUCGUUUGUGGUCUACAUUUUAUACAGGUGUCUAAUGUAGUUUAUAGCUGCAGGUCACUGUAACAUGCGACUUGUCUGUUUAGAAGCUGAGAAACCGCGGUAAAAUGACAAACUAUACAGUAAAAGUAUUUAUUUGCUGUGGUACUAAACAGAACUGUGAAGGAAUUGUGAUAUACCCAAUUUGAACAGAGUCAUUUUAUUCAAAUCCAAGUUUUAGAAUAGAGGCCAAUUCCCUCUUUAUAUUUUCACGUGGGUUCUCUGCGGGUUCCCCGGGUUCCUCCCACGGUCCAAAAACAUGCAUUAGGUUCACUGGUCACUCCAGAUUUCCCUCAGGUGCGUGUUGCCCUGCGAUGGGCUGGCGACCUGUGCAGGUGUUCCCUGCACGUGGCCGGUGACGGCUGAGAUACGCUCAGGCACCGACGUGACCCGCGUGGGAACAAGUUGACAUUGUGAGAAAGAUGCUGUGCUGGAGCUAAACCUUGUCAUUCUGGGGGAAAAACAAUUCCAAACUGAAAUACUUGUUUUAACACUUUCAACAGUUAUCUGGUAAUAUAAUCAUUAUUAAAGUAAUGCUUUAUUUAAAAUCUUUACUGCAAAAUGUGUUUACCUAAAUAAACAACUGUUUUCACUGGAAGACAUUUAUUUUACAUUGAAAUAUAUAAACUUCAUUUACACAUAAUUCAAUCCACCAAUGUUCAAACUUACAAAUCGAUUUAAAAAACCUAAUACUAGUAACCUAGGCUUUUCUCACAUAAUCCACUUGUAGGUGCUGUCAUUCUUGUUUGGAGUUUUCUCACCUGGGUAAUGAACAAAUCCUGGUUGUGGUUGGCAUCUGAUUGGACCCUCACACACAGGUGACACAGGCAGACUCUCACCAGUGUGGCUCAGCUUAUGCCCUUUCAGUUCUAAUGAAUAAACACGUUUCUUCCACAGAUGCUGCAGGGAAACGCCCUCUCACCUGUGUAAUUUCUUGUGCCUCACCAGGUUUGAUGAGCUACUAAAUGUUUUCUUACAGGUGCUGCAGAAGUAUGACUUCUCACCUGUGUGGCUCACCAUGUGCUGUUUCAGGUGUGAUGGGCUAGUGAAUCUUUUUCCACAGAUGCUGCAGGGAUACUGCUUCUCACUUGUGUGUAAUUUCUUGUGCCUCACCAGGUUUGAUGAGCUACUAAAUGUUUUGUUACAGGUGGAGCAUGACUUCUCACCCGUGUGCAUUUUCAUGUGAACCAACAAGUUACUGCUAAAUAUAAAGCUUUUCCCACAUACUUUGCACAGGUGUGCAUUUGCACCUGUGUGGGGUUUCUUAUGAGCCAACAAGUUACUGCUAAACACGAAGCGUUUACCACUGUCUUCACGUAUUUUCACCUUCACACCUGUGUGGGUUUUCUCAUGACUACUCAGGGUUGACUUUUUUAGGAAUGCUCUACCAGUGGUGCUGCAAACGAAAGGUAUCUGACGUGUGUGAUCUCUUAAAUGAGCAGUCAGUGAUGAUUUCACACUGUACUUAUUCCCACAGAUGUCACAACUAUAUGGUUUUUCUCCUGUGUGGCUCAGCAUAUGCUCUUUCAAUCUUGAUGGGAUAAUAAAUUUUUUACCACAGGUGCUGCACACAUGGGGCUUCUCCCCUGUGUGGAUCAUCAUGUGUCUUUUCAACACUGACCUGUCACCAAAUCUUUUGUCGCACAUGCUGCAGAGGUACGGCUUCUCACCAGUGUGGAUUAUCAUGUGUCUUUCCAGUGAUGAUUUCAGAUUGUAUUGUUUCCCACAGAGGUUGCAACAAUAUGGUUUCUCCCCUGUGUGAACUCUUAAAUGAGCUUUUAAUGAUGAUGCCAGAAUGAAUCUUUUAUCACAGAAGCUACAACAAUAUGGCUUCUCACCUGUGUGGAUCAUCAUGUGUCUUUUCAACACUGAGCUCUCACUAAAUCUUCUGUCGCACAUGCUGCAGAGGUACGGCUUCUCACCAGUGUGGAUUAUCAUGUGUCUUUCCAGUUUAGAUGAGCAAAUAAAGGUUUUCUUACAAGUGCUGCAACUAAAUUGCUUCUCGUCUGGGUUGGUUUUCAGAUGUCCUCUCAAUUUAAACCUAGACUUGAAACCUUUUCCACACGUGAAAGAUGUUUUACGUGUGGAAUUACUAGAACGGGGUUCUGACAUGGGAGCGUUGUCUGUGUUGUCCCGAUGACUUGUGCUGCCUUGAUACUCUGUCUCUGCUUCUCUCAUUGAUCCCACAUCUACAUGUGGACUUCCUUCCUGAGCUUGACCCUCAGCUACAGGAGAGCCAUGAGAGAAGAGCUGGUCAUCACUGAUUGGUUCUGAUUCACUGUGGUAACUUCCAUCAUGAACCGGAGUCAACAUGAAGUCCUCAGUCUCUUCCUUCAGCACAAUCUGCUCUAUCUCCUGACUGGUGCCGGGUUCCUCCUGCUCCUCUUUAAUCCGUAGAGGCUCUUUUUGGUCCAGACUUGAAUUAACCUUCUGGUUAAUCAGACCCUCCUCCUCUUUACAGACGUGCUGUGGGAUCUCUGGAAGUACAGAAACAGACAAACCCCGCGUUAUGCCAGCUUUUGGCUGAGCAGUGGCCUGCUAGCUCAGUAGGUAAAGCAUUGGUUUGAUCCCUGGCUCUGGCACCAAAACACCACUCUAGCUGUAAUUGUCUGCCCACUGUUCUCCCAGGGAAUGGGUCACAUGCAGAGACAAAUACUGUUACCAUGUACCUGUACAUGUUUAAUGUGCAAGAAAUGUCAAUAAUAUUCUAUUGCACACAUCAUAUUCAAUAAUGUAAUUCAUAUCUUGGAACCAAUUAACCUUAACAACGCUUAGAUUUUUUGAGGAGUUUCCUUUUUAAUUCAGCUCCAUGUUUUGACCAAGUUACUGUUCCUGUUGCAAUAAAGUUAAUUUCAUCAUGUAAACCUCA